rnacentral:misc_RNA from 1 species
UGGUAAGUCUGAAGGUUAUGAUAACAACACUGUUACAUAUAAUGCAAUUAUCAGAGUCCUUGGUAGGCAUGACUCAAUGGGGGAGUUUUGGAGUGUUCUUGAAGAGAUGAAGAAUGCUGGUCAUGAAAUGGAUAUUGUCACUUACAUAAAGAUUUCAAGACAGUUUCAGAAAAACAAGUUGAUGGGGGAUGCAGUGAAGCUUUAUGAAUUUAUGAUGGAUGGC